CCAAAUAUUCGACGUGUUUCACUUAUUAACAAGAAUCCCUUUUAAGCUUCAAAGCUGUAUUUAUUGGGAAAGCUUCAAAGCAGUUAAAGUUUCCCUUCCAACAACAGCAUAUUACAGAAUAUGUGAAAUGCUUUUAAGUCGACAUCACAGAAGGUCAUUAUCGGUGCUCAUUGAUGAUACAAAAACGCUUUUCAAAGGAUUCAAGCAGGGGAAGGAAACGUUAAAAGCGAAACUUACAUAUACAAUUGAUAGAUGCCACCCAAAAAUCUAUCUUUAAAUGAAUGAAAACGCGGUAUACAUAUAAUUAAAGCAACAAGCCAUGUCGAAUUAAGUAUGUAAAAAUUGUUCUGGUUUCCAAAAUUGCCUUUCCUUAUUCUUGUCGUCAAAAACAAGAUCAAUGCGGGAGUGAUCUCUGAAACGAAAAAACUAGAUAAUUUCUUAUAUCUUCAUCAUUUAAGUCCUGUCCUGGUGUAAAGUAGAGUGUUCUAUAUAAGAAUUUGGAUUCAGAACAUGUACGAAUGAAUUAUCUGUGUAAUUCGGGGUAGCCCUUUAAAGAUGUUCAUACAUCACGAGAUUUUGAGGUUUGCUUGCACGUAUUCUUGUUAGGUGUCUACCAACACGUUUUCAUUAAUGAUGGAUAUCUUCCUAUUCGUUUAACAGGGACAAACAAGUAAAAUAGCACGUCUAGACUCAUAUUCAUUUUAAACAUAAUUUGGAGGAUAGUCGUUUGCUUACCAUGGAUUUUACCAUAAAAUUUAAUGUGAACGUUCUUAUUCAGAUGAUAUCCCACAGCAGUAGAAACAAGAAGUUCGAUCUUUGUUUGAAAAGAAUAUAUAUAUUAGUCUACAG